rnacentral:rRNA from 1 species
AUUGAACGCUGGCGGCAGGCCUAACACAUGCAAGUCGAACGAGCGGCGGACGGGUGAGUAAUGUAUGGGGAACUGCCCGAUGGAGGGGGAUAACUACUGGAAACGGUGGCUAAUACCGCAUACUAUCGGAUGAACCCAUAUGGGAUUAGCUAGGUGGUGGGGUAAAGGCUCACCUAGGCGACAAUCUCUAGCUGGGCUGAGAGGAUGACCCGCCACACUGGAACUGAGACACGGCCCAGACUCCUACGGGAGGCAGCAGUGGGGAAUAUUGCACAAUGGGCGCAAGCCUGAUGCAGCCAUGCCGCGUGUAUGAAGAAGGCCUUAGGGUUGUAAAGUACUUUCAGCGGGGAGGCGUUACCCGCAGAAGAAGCACCGGCUAACUCCGUGCCAGCAGCCGCGGUAAUAC